rnacentral:lncRNA from 1 species
GCUACUCCUCUCUGAGCUACUUUUCCAGGUUCCACAGGGAGAGGUUCAGCUGUCCGUGGUAGACAUGAGGGUAGAGAAUGAGGUGGUUGGGUUCCACUUACCUUUCUAUCAUCUUGCAGUAUGGAUGUCUCUUGACUGGUACCGUGUAGACUUUUGAGGGCACACAGGAGUCUGCAGAGAGAUACUGGGGACAUUGAGCAGCAGCAGUGGGGUUGGGAGGCAGAAAUGAGGACAGGAACAUUUACCUUGUGUUUCUCUCAGCUUCUCAGAUGACCAAGAUGGUGCUGCAGAUGGUGCUGAGGAUGGAGAACCCACCAAGCCCCGCUAGGAGCCACCUAGACUGGAUGCAGAGCAUGAGAAGGCUUCCAAUGACUCGAGCCCCUUUAAAGGAUCCGGAACAAAGGGGCCACUCACCCCUUCCAGGGUGCUCUGUUUUCUUUGUGGAGUUUCAAGAGUGAUGGGCGGAUUCUUCUUAGGUCUAAAGCUCUGCUGUCUUCCUGUACGGCAUGACCUGACCUCUUUGGCUUUGGGGGAACCAGAGAUGACCCUGCACUGUGAGAGGAUUUGACCUUGGCGUGUGUAAUGGCAGACGAGAACUACAAAGAAGGGGUGGCUGAGCACAGUUUACAGGGAAUGGUCUUGGCUGUUUUUUUGUUUUUUUUUUUUUCUCUUCUAGGAAGCUGUGAUUUAAGGAUCCUAAUUCUAGUUCAGAGAUGCAUCCUAAAGGGUCUUCUCUAUUGCUUUUUCUCCCAAAAUGAAUCUCA